UCGGUCUGAAAAUGACCUCAGGUGAAACGUGACCUGAGUUCAGAUACCUGAGCCUAGAGUAUCCUGGCGCAUGAAGCUUAUUUCCUGCUCACACAUUGGCAGAGCGAUAAAACCCAUGUGCCGACAAAA